GAAUAGAUAAUGGAUCUGAAGAUCAAGGACGGUUAUCACAAGUGAAUGAGGCGUGGUCAAGCAUGAUCUAUAUAAAGUAAAGCAAUCGUUUCAUAACCAUCACUUGAGAUAUCUCAUCUGAACGAUAGUACAAAAUGUUCUUCAGAAUCCUCGCUUUCUUCGCUCUCGUGGCGGUGGCAUUCGCCAACCCCAAGCCUGACCCCCAGGUCGUGGCUUACACCGCGCCUGCUGUGGUCCCUGCUGCGUACUACACAUACACACCUGGCUUCGUCCCCACAGCCUACGCCGCCCCUGUACCCUACGCAUACAACUACUUCAUCAAAUAAUUCCACAUCAAGCAUCUUAUAUCCCCACGACAGCCGCUUCACUACCCAUUUUAGCACACUUAUAGCUUUAUUUUUUUAAUGUUUCGUUUCCACCAAAUCGACCCGAGCGCGAUAAUUGACUUCGUUGUGCCAAAAGUAUUAAUAAAUUUAUAGAGUAAUUA